AUUUUAAAUUUUAAAUUUUAAAUUUAGAAUUUUAAAUUUUAAAUUUUAAAUUUAAAAAAAAUAAAUUUAAAAUUUAAAGUUUAAAAUUUGAAAUUUGAAAUUUAAAUUUGAAAUUUGAAAUUUGAAAUUUAAAUUUGAAAUUUGAAAUUUAAAAUUUAAAUUUGAAAUUUAAAUUUGAAAUUUGAAAAUUUAAAAUUUGAAAUUUAAAGUUUGAAAUUUAAAAUUUAAAAUUUAAAAUUUAAAAUUUUAAUUUAAAAUUUCAAAUGUGAUAUUUCAAAUUUCAAAUUUUAAAUUUUAAAUUUUAAAUCUAUAUUGAAAUUUAAAAUUUUAUGUUGAAAUUUAAAAGUUAGAACUUGAUGCAUUUUUUUAAUAAGGGAGCUCAAGAAUGGUGGAAUUUUUUUCCUUUGGUAAGAGUGGAUUAUAUUUUUACUCUAUUUUUUGGACUAUAGUUUAACUAUACUCCAAAAAUUACGUUAUUUUUUUCCUCCCAAACGCUUCAUAGGAUAUUUUUCCUACCGCCGUAGCAUAGUUUAACUAUGCUACGUUUUCAGGAGUAUCGAAACGGGCCUAAGACAUUCAAAAA
rnacentral:lncRNA from 1 species